rnacentral:rRNA from 1 species
AGUGAACGCUGGCGGUAGGCCUAACACAUGCAAGUCGAACGGCAGCACAGUAAGAGCUUGCUCUUACGGGUGGCGAGUGGCGGACGGGUGAGGAAUACAUCGGAAUCUACUUUUUCGUGGGGGAUAACGUAGGGAAACUUACGCUAAUACCGCAUACGACCUACGGGUGAAAGCAGGGGAUCUUCGGACCUUGCGCGAUUGAAUGAGCCGAUGUCGGAUUAGCUAGUUGGCGGGGUAAAGGCCCACCAAGGCGACGAUCCGUAGCUGGCUUGAGAGGAUGACCAGCCACACUGGAACUGAGACACGGUCCAGACUCCUACGGGAGGCAGCAGUGGGGAAUAUUGGACAAUGGGCGCAAGCCUGAUCCAGCCAUACCGCGUGGGUGAAGAAGGCCUUCGGGUUGUAAAGCCCUUUUGUUGGGAAAGAAAAGCAGCAGGUUAAUACCCCGCUGUUCUGACGGUACCCAAAGAAUAAGCACCGGCUAACUUCGUG